GCUCUAAAACUUAUUUUUUUUGCGAGUAAAAAUUUGCUUGAAUUUUCUAAAUAACAUACUUAAACAUUUAAGAGUGGACUUUAUCACUAAGCAGACCUUAUCAUUAGAAAGACAAGUUUAUCAUUAGAAAACUGAACUCUGAUAACUUCAGCAUUGACUGCUUUUCUUGGGACAGUGAUUCUGCCAAUAUUAACAUCAGGUAAUGUGUCAAUUUAAUCGGUUUUCAUUAUGUACCAACAAUUUACCUUCUGAAAGCUCUUUCCUUAAGUUCAAUUAAAUAAAAAUGUUAAAGCAAGUCUUGUAAAGGUUUCUACCUUGUAAUAAUCAAAUUAUUUUAUUUUUAGCCCCUUUUUGAUUAAAAGUAGUGGUCAAAAGAUGUUGAAGCCCUGGAAGGUGAUUUUUGAAGAUGAUGAAGUGCUGGAGCCACCCAGGCAGCAAUCAGAAACAAUUAAGAAAAAUGUACCAAAUGCUUCACUCUUUGGAGGCUGCAUGGCAAAUUACAUCUAAUAUUUCAGGCUUGUUGCAUUUUAAAAUAAAGCCUCCAACUAAGCAAUUUUCAAGACAACCCCAAUCAAAAGAUAUUGC
rnacentral:lncRNA from 1 species